rnacentral:rRNA from 1 species
CAAUAGCGUAUAUUAAAGUUGUUGCGGUUAAAAAGCUCGUAGUUGGAUUUCUGCUGAGGACGAUCGGUCCGCCCUCUGGGUGAGCAUUGACUCGGCCUUGGCAUCUUCUUGGAGAACGCUACUGCACUUGACUGUGUGGUGCGGUAUCCAGGACUUUUACUUUGAGGAAAUUAGAGUGUUUCAAGCAGGCGCACGCCUUGAAUACAUUAGCAUGGAAUAAUAAGAUAGGACCUUGGUUCUAUUUUGUUGGUUUCUAGAGCUGAGGUAAUGAUUAAUAGGGACAAUUGGGGGCAUUCGUAUUGACGAGUCAGAGGUGAAAUUCUUGGAUUUCGUCACGACGAACUACUGCGAAAGCAUUUGCCAAGGAUGUUUUCAUUGAUCAAGAACGAAAGUAAGGGAUCGAAGAUGAUCAGAUACCAU